rnacentral:rRNA from 1 species
GACGAACGCUGGCGGCGUGCUUAACACAUGCAAGUCGAACGGAAAGGCCCUGCUUUUGUGGGGUGCUCGAGUGGCGAACGGGUGAGUAACACGUGAGUAACCUGCCCUUGACUUUGGGAUAACUUCAGGAAACUGGGGCUAAUACCGGAUAGGAGCUCCUGCUGCAUGGUGGGGGUUGGAAAGUUUGGGCGGUUGGGGAUGGACUCGCGGCUUAUCAGCUUGUUGGUGGGGUAGUUGCUUACCAAGGCUUUGACGGGUAGGCGGCCUGAGAGGGGGACCGGCCACAUGGGGAAUCAGAUACGGCACAGACUACUACGGGAGGCAGGAGUGGGGAAUAAUGCACAAUGGGCGGAAGCCGGAUGCAGCAACGCCGCGUGCGGGAUGACGGCCUUCGGGUUGUAAACCGCUUUCGCCUGUGACGAAGCGUGAGUGACGGUAAUGUGUAAAGAAGCACCGGCUAACUACGUG